rnacentral:rRNA from 1 species
AGAGUGAACGCUGGCGGUAGGCCUAACACAUGCAAGUCGAACGGCAGCACAGUGGUAGCAAUACCAUGGGUGGCGAGUGGCGGACGGGUGAGGAAUACAUCGGAAUCUACCUUUUCGUGGGGGAUAACGUAGGGAAACUUACGCUAAUACCGCAUACGCCCUUCGGGGGAAAGCCGGGGAUCGCAAGACCUGGCGCGGAUAGAUGAGCCGAUGUCGGAUUAGCUAGUUGGUGAGGUAAUGGCUCACCAAGGCGACGAUCCGUAGCUGGUCUGAGAGGAUGAUCAGCCACACUGGAACUGAGACACGGUCCAGACUCCUACGGGAGGCAGCAGUGGGAAUAUUGGACAAGUGGGCGCAAGCCUGAUCCAGCCAAUACCGCGUGGGUGAAGAAGGCCUUCGGUUAGUAAGCACUUUAAGUGGAGGAAGGCAUUAACUAAUACGUUAGUUGUUUGUACGUUACCGAACAGAAUAAGCACCGACUAACUCU